AUUGAACGCUGGCGGCAGGCCUAACACAUGCAAGUCGAACGAGUGGGGACGGGUGAGUAACACGUGGGUAACCUCCCAUCAGAGGGGAUAACACUUGGAAACAGGUGCUAAACCGAUACUGAUGGAUGGACCCGCGGUGCAUUAGCUAGUAGGUGAGGUAACGGCUCACCAAAGCCACGAGUCAGAGCGGACCUGAGAGGAUGAUCGGCCAAACGGGGACUGAGACACGGCCCAGACGCCUACGGGAGGCAGCAGUAGGGAAUCUUCGACAAUGGGCGAAAGUCUGACCGAGCAAAGCCGCGUGAGGGAAGAAGGUCUUCGGGUCGUAAAGCUCUGUGGUUAGAGAAGCGGUAUCAAACGAGAAAGCAACGGCUAACUACGUGCCAGCAGCCGCGGUAAUUC
rnacentral:rRNA from 1 species